UUAAUUUACUCAAUUAUCCUAUCCUCCAUGGAUAGGUAACAAUCUUAAAAAAAAUAUAUAUUCAUUAAAUAACAGGAAAUUUAACCAAAUUUUUCGUUUUUCUUUUUGGAAUUAUUAACUAAACUAAACGUUUCUUACUUCAAUAAAAUAAUAAACUAAACGUUUGUUAACUUCUAAAUGCCCCGUCUAUAUUUUGGGAGCUUUUUGGGAGGGAAUUGGGGGAUUAUGUUUUUUGAAUAUUUCAAAUUAGGGCAUUUUCAAAAGAUGGCCACGGAAUCUUCAAAUUCAGAAGAAGAAGGAAAGAUUACAGGAGGAAAUCAAAACCUUAUCGUCGAAGAUGACCUAAGAGAAAUGGAAAAAAAAGCUAUCAAAACCAAAACAAUCAGCCCAAUUCAGGGUUAUUACGUUUUCGUUCAGCUCCAAGCUCUCUUCUCGCUAAUUUCACCAAUAACCUUGAUUGUGGGGUCAAUAAAGGCAGUUUCGAGUCAGACAGAUUGAUAUCCAGAUUCAUCAAUUCAAAAGGCGGCAACAACGAAAUCGAGGAUAAAUCUGGGACAGAGGUCGGUGUUAACUAUGCGAAUUCGCAGUAGAGUUAUUCAGGGUUACCUCCUCAUUAUCCAAGGCAGAGCUCUGCCACGAGCUCGUCUGCUAUGGAUAGCUCAUACGAGUUAUUGGGAAUGGAUCAUCACAGUCAAGGGAAGCCGAUUACUUCAAGCCUACUAAGAGAGGAGAUUUAAGGAAUUCUUUGAUAAGUGAAGCUCUCAAGGAUUCCAUCAAGGGGGCUCUCAAGAUCCUAAUUGAUGUGAGAAAUCAUCCUGUUUUGAUCCAUUGCAAAUGUGGAAAGUUGUAUUGGCUGAGAAUGGAAGGCUAAGGUAUAUAGAGAGCAUUGCAAAGAGAUUUGCGGAGUUGACCAUAGCUGGUAAGGGGGAGCUGAAAGCCAUUAUAACAACUGUUAUUGUAAGUUUACUCUGUAAUUGUAAAGUUUUUUGUAAGUUACUUUUAUCUCCCUUUGAAAAAUUUAUGUUCUUAUAAAGUUGAAAUUCAAAUGUAGCCUUUAUUUUAUCCCUUUGAAGGAAAAGAAUGCAGUCUAACAGUACAAUGCAAUUAGGCAAAUACAUGAAAUUUUGGUUCAAUGGUUUAUUUAAUAUAUUGGCAUUGUUCUUCUCUU